UGUAAUACACGCAACAAACGACAUUAUACAAUAACGCGAAACUGCUUUGUUUCAUAACGUGGGGUGCCGGAAGUGUUGCGUACGUGUUGUACAGUUUCUACUUCAUGUCUAAACUGGAGGUCAGGGACAGUUUUCAGGUGCCAAUCUCAGCAUAACUAGGCAUUUCAGUGUUGUCCAGUGUCCACACUUUGCACGUCAACUGAUAACAUGAAGGAGCAUCAGUUAUCAAAGGGAAAACGUCUCACCAAACCGAUUUUGUUUGGAACAUUACUCUUAGGACUAGCCACAGCAUUCUUCAAUAGACAUCUGUUCUUUGAAGACCUGGCCAACAUCCGAGCUGAAGAGAGGGCUCGCAACAACGCCAAACUCCAAGAGGUGCUGGAAAGGCGCUACCGGCAGAUGGAGGAGUUGGCCGAGAAGAAGACCACAGGAGAAAAGGAUUAAAGGAACACUGAAAGACACAUCAUAUAUUGUAUUAACACACCACCUCUAGCCUGGCCUUGAGACUGUUAAAAGAGUGUGUGGCCUGUGAAAGGACAAACGAGAGGCCAGUGUACGAAGGUCAUUGAGGUUUGAUUCAACUCCCGAGAGACUGCAUUACCAGUCUGCCAACUAUCAGGAGGUUAAUAAUAAUACAUGGCGAGGUGGUGAUUUGUGUGGGCAAAGGCCAAGAGUUUAUUUUCAUAAAAAGAACAGAUCUAUGUUUGUUAUGCUCUGAUGAGUAGUCUUUAGCAUCCAGGACCCAUACACUGACACAGUUGCUGUCAAGGGGCUCAGGGCCUUCGUGGACCUCAAGGUGCAGACAUGCCACCAGAGUACAUCAUAAUAAGCCUACUUUUCUGUUAAGCAGGUUCUGAUAAUAAUGUCCCAGCUGCAGUGCUCUGUGAUUCUGAGAAAAUGAAGUUUUCUUGUUUGUUUGGCCUUAUGAGAGUGAGGGUGAGAAAGGGACAUGGAAAUCGCCUUUGUGAAAUAUGAUGAAUGAAUGUAAGACGAAUACUAGAUGACAAAUGUGCAGCCACAAAGCUCACUGGGUUUAAUUAUAUGAUUAUAUUUAAUUUUUAUUAUAAGAAAUUAAAGUUUUGACCUAAACAAACUACUUCAAUAUUUUGUCAAAUACAUUCCAGUAAUAGUUUUUCAUUCAUUAGUUUGGUUAAGUUCUGUUCACAACGUCCCAGUUUAUAGGUGUACUUCAAGACAAAGCAGGAGAUCUCUACUUGUAUGAGGCUUCAUUGAAUAUGCAGGAUGUGUUUGUGAAACAAAUUUCACCCACAUAAAUGAAAAUUAGGCAUAGGAUUGGACCAAGACUAAAAAGUUACUCUUCUUGAAAUGCAAGAGUUUCAAUUCAGAUUCUGUUUAUUAUUUUUAUUUUGUUAUUUUUAAGAUGACAUAUUUAGAGACUGAUUUUGGCCAAUUUCUUAGAGGGGCUUUCUGCAACAGACCGACUGUCUCACAGCAAAUACAGUAUAUCUGCUUACAUGUACAAUGGCUGUCAGUGUGAUUGGCCACCAGGGGGCACUGUUACACAAGUGGGGUGCCGCAGCAUACCCAGCACCUCAUGUUACAUGUGUAACUUGCAUGACUGUGUAAGUGUGCAAGUUCACGUGUCGUACAUGUAUCUGUGCAAGUUCCUGAUGGAAGUAAAAGAUGCUGAGAAGUACUUGAUAUCCUGAUGUACUCCAACACGUAACACAGAAAGGAACAUUGGGAAACAAUGGUCAAAAUAGCUUUAUUAUCUCAGAACACUUCAUAAAGGGGUAACUGUACACAUGCUUAAAUAAAACAGAAAUAAA